rnacentral:rRNA from 1 species
UACGUAGGGGGCAAGCGUUGUCCGGAAUCACUGGGCGUAAAGCGCACGUAGGCGGUUUGUCAAGUUGGGGGUGUAAGCUCUAGGCUUAACCUAGAAAUUGCCUCCAAAACUAGCAUACUUGAGUAUUAGAGGGGAAGCUGGAAUUCACGGUGUAGCGGUGAAAUGCGUAGAUAUCGUGGAGAACACCCGUGGCGAAGGCGGGCUUCUGGCUAAUUACUGACGCUGAGGUGCGAAAGCCAGGGGAGCGAACGGG